CUUAUAUCAUGGAAGAUACAGUUCUGCUUCUCUCAGCAGAGCAGAAUCCAGGACCUCCCCAAAACAGACCUACAGGCAGAGCAGGCUCCAGGGUCCACCACGAUGCCCGUCCCUGCCUCUCGGCCCUGCCUGAGAGAAACAACAGAAACGAUUUCAUCCAUCCCUGCUGCUGCCUCUGGCUGCUGGGACUCACAGGCUUGCUGUCAAAAUAAUCCAAACAGGGAAGAAAUGUACACGUAAACAAGAAAAGUCCCCAUACUCAUCUGGCUCCCUGAAGACAGCUACUUUUUAAGAGUUUCAUUUGCCUUCUUCAAGAGAGCUUUCUUUCACUGACAUAAAAUGCCAGCUUGAUCGUACAGUAAAUCUGUCUAUUUAUUUGGGUCCAGUUCUAGGUUCUCUCUUCUGUUUCAUCGACCUCUCUGCUUGCCUUGGUACCAACCUGCCUCUAGUAUUUAUUGCAGCCUGAAAAUGUGCUCUAACUUUCAUAUGCUGAAACCUGUGUACAUCUUUUGAAAAACUUUUCCAGCUAGUCUGUCAUGGAGGUUAGCAGUUUGUUUGUGGUUUAACUAUGCACUUCACUGGAUUACCGGGGUUGUUGAACAUCUUUUCUAGAUGUAUGUCUUCUCUUGUGACUUCCUGACUGUGUCCUUAGCAAGGGCUGUCUGUCUGUCUUGUCUCUAUGUCUCUCUUGAUACCCAGUUAAGAAAUGUGACCAUCCUAAAAGCUAAUACAUGAUAUGGAAAGAAAGAAUUAAUGGGGCUUCAAAUGCAAUCUGAAUCCAGGCACCUGGACCACAGCCUCAGCCACAGCUGGAGCUUGGAGCUGACCUGUGUUCUUCCAGGAGUGGCAGGUGAGGAGGAGCUGCAGGUGAUUCAGCCUGAGAAGUCCGUAUCAGUCACAGCUGGAGACUAUGUCACACCUGGAGACUGGUCAUUGCACUGUGACCUCCCUGAUGCCCAUCCAGUGGUUCAGAGGAACUGGACCAGGCCAGGAAUUAAUCUACAGCCAAAAAGAAGGCAACUUCCCCUGGAUAAGAACUGUUUCAGACAUCACAAAGAGAAACAACAUGAACUAUUCCAUCCAUAUCUGUAGCAUCAUGCAGGCAGAGCCGGCACCUACUACCGUGUGAAAUUCCAGAAAGGGAGCUUAACGUGGAGAUUAAGUCUGGACCAGGCACCCAGAUGUUUGUGCGUGCCCUCUCUUCCAAAGAUUUCUGGCCACUCCAACAGGGAUAUCCCAGGCCAACUAGUGAAUCUCACCUGCACCUCAACUGGCUUCUUUGCCGAAAACAUAUAUGUGAAAUGACUCAAAAAUGGCAUAGAGCUUCCAGCCUUUCAGAGCCACGUCUCCUCACCUGCAGAUGCUUCCUCCUACACCGUCAUCAGCACUGCUACAGUGACCCUUGGCUUCUCCUCACUCCACUCCCAGGUCAUCCGCCAGUUGGCUCACAGUGAAUUGCAGAGCCCCCUCAGAGGGCAUGUGAACAUCUCCCAAUUUCUCCAAGAGCUCCCUGCUGUCUAACGUCUUUGGGAGGUGGAACUUCAUUCACUAAUUCGACAGGUUUUUGUUGAGCAUCUGCUAUGUGGUGGCAUCAUUCUAGGUGCUGGAGAUUCUAUGGUAAACCGAGCAGACCUGGUUCUGCCUUGCUGAGUUUACAGUCAUGUGAACCCAAUCAACCAAGACGCAAACAACUAUAUGGUUAUGACUCAUCACAUUUGCUAUGAAGAGAAAGAACAAAUUGCUGAAAUAUAUGAAAAGGAGAGAAAUCCAGUUUACUCAGGAAAUGCCUUUUUGAAGAAAUGAUGUUUGAGCCAAGGCAUGGAGAAUGAAAAGGAGUCAGCCAAGCAAAGUGCAGAGUGUUCAAGGCACAGGAAACAGAGCAUGCAAAGGCCCUGUGCUGCCGUGGGGAGCAAGACAUGUCUGAGGAGCAGAGACGAAGCCAGUGUGGCUGAGGCCUAGUGAGAGGGUGAGUGCAUGGAAAAGGAAGAGGCUGGCAAGAGAGGGCCAGGGACCUGAUCACUUAGGGCUUCAUAGCAAAGAAGUUUCUCCCACCUGAACUCGCUGUGGGAACUCCUAACACCACUGUUCAAACCGCCAUGCCACCACUGCCUUGCCGCCAGUCACCACCUUUGAAACACGCUUCUUAAACUCACCUGGCAACAGGAGAAGCAGCAAGGCAGGCUACACACACAUGCCCUUUCUGGCUCUUACUUCUUAAGGACAGAGUCCAUUGUUUAUUUCCCAAGAGCAAGCCCAGGCUGUUGUGUUGAAUCCAACUUUGCAGAAAUAUAGAAAGAAAGGCAAAGGAAAUUAUCCUCACUGCUUUUCAAGUCCAUCUGCCUUUGCCUUCAAAGGGGCUUUCCCCAGAGGCCUGUACUGUCCUUUGCCCCCCCACCAACCUCAGCAUAGUAUAGUCUCAAUUACCUCCUGCAGAUGGGUGAAGUUCCUUCCAGGGGUCCAGAACUCCAUCUUUCCUUCUCUCCAGCUCCAGCCAGAGAAAACCAAGGAGACCCAUUAAUAGCACCAUAGUCUCCACAGCAACCCCAUAAGGGAGAUAAUUUAUGGUAUCAUUGUCAAAAAUUUAGUUCCUCAUUACUCAAACGCCUCCAUCCCAAAAUAGAAGUCUGUCUUGCUUAAUCAAAAGAUACCACAAGAGAGCUGCAGCCUGGAAAGUGAAUUCUAGCCUCCACAUCAAUCAUCCCAGAGAAACUAGAGGCAGCUGUGUGUCCUUGCUUCGUUCAGAUGAGGAAACUGAGGCCCAGAAAAGUGAAGUGACUUGCCCAAGGUCACAGGGUUCUUCAGUAAGCAUGCUGGAAUUUGAAUCCAGUGUUAAACCUCUUCAGAUAACUACCUCUGAUCUGUCUCCUGUAAGAACCACCUAUGCAGAGAUACCAGAGAGAGGCAAUAACCAACCCCACUUUCCCCAAGAGUGGUUGUCUCAGUCAUGGUCAGCCCAGAGAUGGGCGUUGUGCUGCUCCCCCAACCCUCUCAGAGCUUGCUGCUCCUUCUGUCCUACUCGUAUAAGUGAAGACACUCCCCCUCAACCAAGUCAUCUAAGCCAGAAACCUGUUCUCACCCAACCCAUCACCAAGUUCUAUCAGAUAUCACUCCCAAAUAUUUCCUGAACUCAUACAUUUCUUUCCACUGCCACUACUUAAACUAAUACUUAAGUUCAAGCCAACAUCCAUCUCUUACCUGAGCAAUUGCAAGAGUCUCCGAAUUGAUCGCUAAUAUCCACCAUUGCCCUGUACAGUCCAUCCCCAAACUCCCAGCAGCCAGGGGGAUUUUAUAAAGGAAACCAGAUCAUGUCUCUCCUUUGCUUAAAACCCUACAGUAACUCAUCACUUCUCUUAGGGGAAAAAAAAAAAUCUUACUGAGAUGUUCAACUGUGAUAUUCAAGCAUUUUUGUGCAUAUUUCCCUAAAAUAAUUGUGCAAAACUAUAUAGUCUAUCAUGUAUUUUAAAGUUGACAUCUAAAAUUUUUCAUUAUAACUUAAAUAGUCACACAGAACAUAACUCCUGGAGUAUUACAAAUGUUGCAUCACUCCAAAACAUAUUCAGUGAAAACAAUAACAUCAUCAUAAUUUAAUUUCCACCAUCAUCCAUUUAAACAUACAUAAAGAAGCUCUUCUUUAAUAAUCAGGCAUUUUAUAUCAUUCCUUUUACUUCCUAAUGCUGUAUUUCCAUUCUAACUCCCAUGAAGAAUUUAACCUUAAUGUAACAUAUUUUACAUUGGAAAAUCUUUUAUUGACUAUCAAAUCAUACAGAUACAUAUCACAGAGAACUAUGAGAACACAGAACUCAAGCAAAACCACAUCUAUAAAUUGAAAUUUAAAAUAAAAUUUUUAUGACCGUAAGACUCUCAGUGUCAAAAAACAUUCUUUUGGAUUGAAUUACACAAUUGAUCCAAACAAUCUAAAUGUAUAAAAAUUUUUGAUAAGUAAUUAUUAAAAUAGCCAUUAACAUGGUAUUGGAAUUGCAGUUUGGCAAGGUAGAUGGGGGAGUUGAUGGUCCUUUAGUUAAAGCAGGCUUCCUGGCCAGCAGUAUUUGCAAUGUAAAGUAUUUUGCAUCCCAAAGUCUUUACACUAAGGACAAUGCCCCACAGCUAGAUUCAGGAAGUGUGGGAGGAAGGCCUUUCUUCUGUGAUAUGGGAGAAGGAAAAUUGAGAAACCGGAGGUAAGAAAAGAAAGUGGCCCUGAUGCUCAUUCUCAGGCAGAUCAAUAUAACUAAACAGUUUUAUGAGGGUUCAGGAUCUGGAAAUUAAUUGUAUUAAAAUAAUGUUCCUAUGCCUUAGAAUGUCUUUAAGUGCCUCCAGGGCACCUAUAAGUAUAGCCAGCCUCCAGAUUGGCUAUGAAUUCAGCCUCACUCAUCCAUCCUCUCUCUCAUUCACUUUGAUCUUCUUUCUAAAGUCCAUGGAAACUCAGGGCCUCUGCCCAGGUCCAUCCAUCUGCUGAGAUGCCAUCCCCACCCUCACCCUCUCCCAGCACCCCCUUCCUCCUGCCCCACAAACCCUUUUGCCUAAUGUUUCACAAUUGUUAGGGGUAUAGAGCCAAUUAUCCCCAAAUUUAUUCCAGUAUUCCAAAUUUACUCCAUAUUCCCUUAAAUGAUUAUGCUUUUAGAUGCUGUGGGUCAAGAAUUCCAGCAGGGCUGGGCAAGGACAGCUUGCUCUGUUCCAUGAUGGUGAAGCCUCAGCUGGACAAUUCAGAGGCUGGAAUCACCUGAAGACUCCUUCACUAACAUACCUGGCCAUUAGUGCUGGCUAUUCUUGGCAUGGGCUUUUCCUUAUUAUCUUUCUGUUGCCAGAAAAAGAGUCCCUAAUCAGGUUCCAAGAGGGGGUUGUUGGAUCUGAUAAGGAAGAAGUUAAAGGUAAGUCACAGAGUACAGUGAGAAGAGAUAGUUUAUUGAAACUAUUCACUUACAGGGCGGGGUGUCCUCAGAAAGCAAGCAGAGGAAUGCCUCAUCUGUUUUAAGUUUUUCUUAUAAAGACGUCUUGUCCAUGUAAAAGCUAAGCUAAGCUGUGUCUACAUGCACGUGAGCGGACAACAUGACAAAAUAUAUUAUUCUAUUGAUUUGAAGAAAACUAUCCUUGACAUUCUAGAGUGUGAGUACAUCAAAGAAUAACUAUAAUGAUAUUGAAAACAUAUAUUGUUAUAGGUAUUGGGACAUGUUGACUUUCCACUGUUGUAGAAAUGUGUCUUUGUAGGAAUCUUUAGGCUUUUUCUUCAGUUGUAAAUAUCCUGUAACUGUGGGUCGUGACCAGCAAGGAAUGUGCCUUGUUGGUUCCAAGAUGGAGUUGAACUUAAAGUAGCGUUAGUCUGGCUCUCCUAGGCUCCUGCUUCCCCAACAUUUCCACAUAGGCUAGUUAUAGCUUGUGACUGUGUCCCAAGGGUGUGUCCCAAGAAAGAGCUAGGUAGAAGCCAUACCAGCUUUUAUGACCCAGCCACAGAAGUCAUACAGUGUUGUCCCUACUGCAUUCUAUUCAUCAAAGCAGUCACAAAGUCCAGGGGAGCAGAAACAGACUCCUCCUCUAAAGCAGAGUAGCAGAGUUCUGGAAGAGCAUGUGGGGUAUGCUGCCAUCGUUUUUAGAAAAUGCAGUCUGCCACACAGAGUUAACUCUUACUCAUCUUUCAUAUUUCCACUCAAAGAUUUCCACUCAAAGGUUACUUCCUCUGGAGACCCUUUCCUAACCUGCCUUCCUGCAGACCAGGUCAAGUGCCCCUAUUGUAGGCUCUUGGAACUCUAGUGGGGGUCAUGUGUCUGCUUUGUUUCCUUCCUGUCCUCCUCACCAGAGUGGGAGUUCCAUAAGGCAAGGCAGGGAACAUGCCUGUCUUGAUUCAUGCUGUAUUCCAAGAACCCAGCACCCUGCCUAGAAAGGUGUGGACACCCCUUGAGCAUGCUUUGCAUAAAGGAAGAAACUAACGAAGGCAGUGCUGUUGUUUCAGUUGUACCCACAGUGAAUAUCUCUGCACACCACCUCCUAGGACUCCAGGCUGCCAUUCUCACCUGCCAUGUGCAAAGGUUUUACCCCAAACCCAUUGCCUGGCUAAAGACAAAUGGAUACUUCAAGACCUGUGAGGCCCUUGGCCCCACCAAGAACCCAGAUGGCACAUUCAGCCAAGACAAUCAUAUCCUGGUCAACACUUCAGAGUGGAAGGAUAAAAAACAGUUCACCUGCCAAGUGUGGCAGAAUAACCAGGCUCUGGUCCAGGCUAGCAGGCAGCUGAGCAGACCCAAAGAAGAGUAAGGGAGUCUGGGAGAGUAGGACCAGAAUAACCAAGCAGGUAAAGGCUCAGACCUAGAGACAGACAGGCCAGGUUCAAAUGCAGGCUUUGCUGUGCUCACCAUGUGUGACAUUGGAAAAGUCACUUCACCUCUUUCUGAAUCAUCUAUAAAAUGGGACAGCAAUUAUGGCAUCCUCUUUAGAGCAUUGUGUCUCCAGUACCAAAUUGCAAUAAGUGCUGCUUUCAUCAGCUGAAUCCUGACCAGUCACUCGUUUUACCAGAUACUCCUUUGAAUAACUAAGCUAAUAUGAAAUAUCUUUCCCCAGUUCCCAUCCAUCCUUCAAAAGUCAUUCAGAUUCAACAAUUGCUGAGCACCUAUUAGGCACUUUGGUUGCUCCCAUUUGAUACAAAAACAUUCUGAAAUGUGUGUUAUAAUUCCCACUUUACAGAUGAAGGAAACUGAGGCUUAUAUAGGUGAGGUGACUCUCCUCGAGACAAGGGUAUAGUCUUGGGACCUGAGUCAGAGGUGGGGCUGAGCCUGCUUGGGGGUCUAAUGGAAACAGGAUCCAACCUCAUCCUGACAUUGUUCUGUCACCAGGUACCCCUGUGUGCAACUCCCUCCUGCUCCUUGGCUGGAACUUUCUGUCAUCUAUGUCUUUAGGAGGAGACUUUCUUCCAGGUCACAGACACUGCAGAGGCAAACCUCUACAGUGACGUAGGACCCUCAGUCCCUCCUGACUUAUUCUGGAGGACUGGCCUCAGAGGAGGACCUGCCAUGAUACCUGUAACUGCUCCCCCAGCUUCUCUUGCCGCAUCAGCCUUCUGAGACCUGAACAGCACUGACCAUCCCUCCUUAUCUCCUGCAGCCCCAAGAGGAAGGGAGCACCUAGAUUGGAAAGGUCAACAGUGAGAGGCAGAUUCUCAUGCCCUACCCAGGAAUGAAUUUUCUGUGGAAAGUCUGACCUCAGAGUCCAUGAUGCUGACCAAGAAACCCAGCAGAGGCAGGAUAAGUUCCAACCCUGAGAAAAAUAGAUACCUGCAUUUCUGAUGGCUCCUUCCUGGCUCAUCAAGGAAAGCCCCUUGUGCGCACCCAAGCUCUGCCAUGAAACCUCUACAGUCCCAUCAUUAAAAUUGAGUUCAAUGAAACACUUAUGGCCAAUAAACAUAUGAAGAAAUGGCCAACCUCAUUAGUAAUCAGGAAAAGCCACAGCAAAACCACACUGAGAUGUCAUUUUGUCCCUGUUCAAAUAGCAAAAAUAAAGAAGCCACUGGAUCUUUUUUGCAUUACUAGUGGGCACAUAAACGGACACAGCUGUUUUGGGAAACAGAUUGGAAAAUUUUGUUGUGUUAAACACUCACAUACCCUAUAACCUGGCACUUCCACUCUCGGGUUACACCCAAAAGAAACUUGCACAUGUGCACCAGGAGAUAUGUACAAAUAUGUACAUGGAGGCAUUGUUUAAAAUUAGCAAAACCUGAGAACAAUCCACAUGCCCAUCUACAGUACGAUGUGUGAUAAACUUAGUACAGUCACAGAAUGGGAUAUCCUAUAGAAAGCAAAACUAACCACAGCUGCACACAGUAACAUGGAUAAAUUUUAGUAAUACAAUAUUGAUAGGGGUAAGCAAGCCCCAGAGAUUUCAUGCAAAAUGAUAGUCUUUUAAUAAAGCUAAAAACAGCUAACAUUAGUUUUUGGAAAUACACAGAAAUAUAAUGAAACCCAUGUAUUUUUAAAAGGAACAAGGAACACAAGAUUAAAAAUAGCAGUGACCUUGGAUGUAGGGGGGGCAGAAGGAUGAGAAUUUGGGGUACAUAAAGGUAAGUGGAAGUUACCGUGAAGGUUCUAGCUUCCAUGAUGUAUGGUGGCUUCACAAAUGUUUAUAUUAAGAUUUUUUUUAAAUUGAGAGAUUAACAAUAUAAAAUUGAUAUAAGUAUGAAGUAGAUAGAUAGAUGCAUGGUUGAUUGGAAGGGAGAGAGGGAGUGAGGGAGGAUGGAUGAAUGGAUGGACAAGAUGGAUGGAUGGAUGGGCAGACAGAUGGGUGGACAAACGACCAAUGGACAGUUGUAUAGAUGAAGGGGUAGGUAAACAAAUUAAUAAAAAGGGUCAUGCAUUGUCAAUAAUGAUAGUAUCAUGCAGCAUGAAUUAUAAUAGGUACAAUUCUGUGUACUUAAGAUUGAAAGGAAAAAAAAUAAACAGAGGGACAUUAUCUAGAGAACCCCAAGUUCCCUUCCUAUUGUGACAUUCUACAGUUCCAUAUAAGGAAGAAAAACAGUUACUGGAUGCCACCACGGGCCUGGGACUUCAUGUGCAGUUGUGUCUCAUUUCAUCCUCAUACCGGUUUUACAAGGUGGGCGCCAUGCUCCAUUUUGCAGGUAAGGGGACCUGCCCAGUGUCACUUAGAUAAUAAGUGGUAGAACCAAGAAAUCCAGAUUCAAACCCAACUCUUCUCACUGCUUUCCAAGGAGCCACAUGGUCCCGUAUUCUAGACACAGAUAAGGUGAUCUUCACCCAUCCUCAAUCCAUUGCUUCCUGGCCUGUCAGCCAGACUGUUCUACAGUAAAGUCCACUUGGUACUAUGGGUGGUGACGGGAAGGAAGAUCAUAUGUGUGCCCUUUCCCAGGUUUGAAAUGUGGUCCUGGAGUAGAUCGAGGGUUCAUCAUAAGCACCAAAAUGGCCCUGUGAAGACUUGGGAAGAUGGUGUAGUCCAGAAAAGCCUUUUACAGAAAAGGCUUUUUGUAAAAGGGUAAGUAUGCCCAGAGGAGAUAAACAUCCUGCUCUAUUAGUUUUAUUGUGACUUUGAACCUUUGUAGUCACAGAAACAGAGAUAUUCCCCCUCAGAUAUGCAUCUCCUUUUCAAAAUUUUCUACUUACAAUAGAGCUGCUUCAGCUUCAAUAUUCCCAUUCCUGGGCUCCAAUGUUGAGAACCUUGAGGAUAUCUUGUCUGUCUUCAAUGAUGAGGGUAUCAUGAAGCAAGAAUUAUAAUUUACCUCCCCCUUGAAGCAGGACCAUGACUAAGAUGAGGCAAAGUUCCUAGGAAACAAAAAGUAAGACACUCAUUCUGAGGCCUGAGCAGGGCAGUGUCAGUAUGUAUAACACCUUGUGAUGUGGGCUGGCUGUAUCCCCAACCAAAUCUCAUCUUGAAUUGUAGUUGCCAAAAUCCCCAUGUAUCAUGGGAGGGACCUGGUGGGAGGUAACUGAAUCAUGGGGGAAGUUAUCUCCAUGCUAU